rnacentral:rRNA from 1 species
ACUCCUGUCAGAGGAGAAGAAUCUCCGAGCAAUCGGAGUUGACGGUAUCCUCAGAGGAAGCCCCGGCUAACUACGUGCCAGCAGCCGCGGUAAAACGUAGGGGGCAAACGUUACUCGGAAUUACUGGGCGUAAAGGGUGUGUAGGUGGCUGAGCAAGUCAAUGAUGAAAUACCAAGGCUCAACCUUGGAAUUGUUGUUGAAACUGCUCAGCUUGAGGAUAGUCGAGGAGAAUGGAA